UGAUGCAACAAAUAAUAUAUUCUCAAUAAAUCCUUUUUGUUACAACACAAUUUUAGCAAAUGAGGGUUUUUUAAAAAUCUAAAGAGGCUUAAGCAUCAAUCAAAAGUAAAUAUGACACAAAAUAUACUAAAUUUUACCCUAAUUAUAUAAUUUAGGUAGGAAAAAAUCUCAGAAUCUUUUGUUCUUAUAGAAAGAGACUACAAACAAAAAUUAAGUUACACUUAAACAUGAUUGUUUUAAUGAGAACUUCAGUUUUAGUAUGUCCAAAUUCUAUGUUUCCAUCAGAGAAAGAUUUCUACAUAUAAACUAAUAGAAUGAUUCUUCUCUACUCUUUCUCCUGACUUCAAGUUGCAGCUGAAUUUAGUCCCACAUUCCACAAAAAAGCUUUCCUAGUCCUCUUACAGUUUUCCUCCUGAAAUUAGCUCUAACUUACCCUGUUUAUAUCCUGUUUGUAUUUAGACUAGAAAUUAUUUGAAAGUAGAGACUGUCCAAAAUUCCUUCCUUUAAAAAAUAUCUUGUUUUGACAUCCUAACAAAGUCAAUUGUAAUUUGUCAAGUAUUCUUAGCUUUUUAAACUAAAAUAUUAAAUAUUCUAAGUAAUAAAUAAAAGAUCAUGUAAGUGACAAUUCUUUAAACAAUACACUUUUACAGUCUUCAGUUCACUCCUAGAUUUCUUCCCGUCUUGUAGAAAACAAGAAAAUCACAAAAUCUGAAUUGGAAGAGACCUUAGGCAAUUUUGGAGCUAGUACAUGUGCACACAUACACUCCCCCCACCCCUCCACAUAUCCCUACCUCCAUCUGGUCACAUAAUCAGUCUCUGCUUUAAUAUUUUUAAUGCAAAAAAACCUCACCACUUCAUGAAGUAAACUGUUCUGUUGUUGGAAUAACAACUCUAAUUAAAUAAUUCUGCUGUACUUAUGUUUUAAUACAUCAGAGAAAAAUGAUCUCAAUCACAGUGACAUUCUUUCCACCACAAUUUGCAAGCUUCAUACAGUUUCAAAGACAGUUCAAAGCAGAGUUGUGAAGGCAAACUUUCCUUAUCAAAUCAAAAAUUGCUUCCCUGUGACUUUAGACCACAGAAUGUCAAAGUUACAGGGCACCUCAAAUCAUUUAAUGCAAUCCAUAUCUGAAUAGGAAUCUCUUCUACAACAGACCAAAUGAUCACCCAAUAGCUAAUUAAUUAGAAUUCUGUAGUGAUUAACGUCACCCAACAGGAUAUCUUCUUUUUGGGAACUGGGCUAGGAAGUUUUUCACUAUAAUAAGGAAAACUGCCUUUCUAUACAUUCUACCUGGUGCUUCUCGUUCUGUAAUCUGGGAUCAAGCAAGACAGAGAUUAAUACCUCUUCAAUGUGUUAGCCCUUCUAACACUGAAAGGCUGCUAACGUGUUCUUCAUACUAAUAAUUAUUUUCUCCAGGAUAAAUAUGCUCAGUUUCUUUAAAUGAUUACUGAACAGAAUGAUUUUCAAGGCCCCCACCAUGUCAGCCAAUCUCUAAAUAGAAACAACCUUGUCAAUGUCAUUCUUAAAAUGUGUUACUCAAGAAUGAAAUAUAAUUGCCUAGAUGGUUCAACUGGGAAACUUUUUAUCAAUGCACAUCAGGACCUUCUGUAAUAGUCUUGAAUAGUAAGCCAACAAUCCUGAGAGGUUAGGUCAAAGUCACACAGUAAAUGUUAGUGUAUGUCAGAGGCAGAACUUGAAUCCAGAUUUUUCUGGUCAAUUCUCUAUCUAUUCAAUACUCUAUACUAUGCUGACUCUCAUCAAAAGACCUGAGGUCAAAUCCAUCCUCAGAUAUGUAAAUGCUGUGUGAUUCUAGCCAGUUAAGUGGCAAAAAAGAUAGGGAAGCUGGGGAAGCAAAUGGCAAACCACUCUAGUGGUUUUUGUAUUUUUGCUUGCUUUCUCCCCUCCCCCCCCCCUUUCUUUUUCUGAGGCAAUUGGGAUUAAGUGACUUGUCGAGGAUUACAGAGUUGGGAAGAAUAAGUGUCUGAAGUCACAUUUGAACUCAGGUCCUCCUGACUUCAGGACUGGUACUCUAUCCACUGCUUCACCUAGCUGGCCCCACACUCUAGUAUCUUUGCCAAGAAAAUCUCAAAUAGAGAGUUGGACAUGACUGUACUGACUGAAGAAUAAAGAUAGAGAUAAUAACAUCUACCUGAUUGUUAAAGGGUAGGUGUGACAGCAAAUAAGAUAUUUGUAAACUGCUUAACACAUUGUCUUGGCAUAUUGUAGGCAUUAUAUAAAUGCUUAUUUCCUUCUACUUGGCACACAUUAGGCACUAAAUAAAUGCUUGCUAUUUGACUGAUCACUGCAGCAACAUAGAACAAGUCAAUUUUCCCUUCUAUGUGGUAGUCCUUAUCUAACUGAAGACAGCUUUCCACUAUCCCUUUUCUUCUUCUUUUUUUUCCCUCAGUAUCUAUAUAUAGAGAGGAGAAAAAAAGAUCAUUUAUAUUAGAUUUAACAAUCUCAGUGUGGGUAAAUUUAUGUUAGUUAUCUAAAUGAUAGAAAAAUCCUAAUGAAGAGCAUAGAAAGGUAUAUUUACUGUCAGGAAAGUCACCAAAACAUAUUAGAAGACAGUUCCUUUAAAAUCUUUGAGAAAGUCCAUUUGAUUAAAAAUUCUUCCAACCAAAUCUUCUCCAUCAUUUUAGUAGCAGAAUUUUUCAAUUCCUAAAACUUAACUCAAAAAUAGCUCUAUCAUUUUUAACUUAUCUUUUCUUAAUUAAAAUAGAAAACAAAACUCCAUUCUCCUGAAGCUAUGUAAACUCCAGUCUUCCUGACUCCAGGCUCAAUUAUAAGAGAAAAUUGCUGCCGGAUUUUCUAUUUACCUGCUUUUCUUCUAAUUUCAACCACAUUGAUUUUUUCUGUGCAAAAAUAUUUUUAUGCCUUAUUCAGUUUCUAAUGAAGUUAGAUCAAGUGCUCUAUUUUCUGUUCUAUUAAUCUGGACACUUACUAUUUCUUAAUACUAUUCACCCAUUUCAUUUAGUUUGUCAGCUUUUUGGCAUAUAGCUGGGUAAAGUAGUUUCUGACAGUUAUUUUACUUCUCCAUUACUGGUAAUGAAUUUAUCAUUUUUAUUUUUUAUAUUGGUAGGUUGGUUUUCUUUUUUAAAAUCAAGAUUGUCUUUAUGAUUUUGUUCUGAGAUUCACUGUUCUUUGGGAUUCGUUUAGUCUUAAAAUAAUUUUUAAUGUUUUUCUAAAGUAAACAAUAUAAUUUUUAUUGCAUUACAGAUUGUAAAAACUUUUUUUUGGUUAAAAAAAAUCUGCUUCUUUGCUUUUGUUUGUGAGGUUUUAAUGCCUCAAUACAGGAUUAAUUUUUGUAAAGGAACCAAGAACAUUUGAGAAAAAAAAAAAUUUACAUACACACACACACAUAUAUUCUUUUCUAUUUCUAAUAAUCUCUAAUAAUCUAUGCUAUCUAACCUUUCUAAGACUUAAUUCCUAUCUUCCACUUAUAUUUUUGUUAGAUUUAUCUAGAUCUGCCCAAUAUUAUUUUAUUGUCUCUUUCUCUCCCUAUAACUUAUUUAACUUUUUAAGUAAUUUUAUACCACUUGUUGCAAACUUAGUUUUGACAAUAAUACAUUGUGAUACAUUCAAUAAGUAGUUUCCCAGUUUAUCUUUUUUUUGAGUUAAGAGUAUUUUAGCUAUUUCCUAGUCUAUCUGGAUUGCUACCUCUUUCUCUUUUUUACAUCAGAUGAGACAUAGAUUUUUAUGUAGUGCUUAUUUUAAUGCUUGUAAACAACAUACCAAUGAAUUCUGCUUUCUAAGCCAUUCUGUUAUCCUCUUCACUUAUGGAUAAGUUCAUCCUACUACUGGUUAAUAGUAAUUAUCUUCUUAUGCUUCUCUAUUUAUUUCCUACCCCUUUUUAUUAAAUAAGAAACACACCCAGCAGCAAAGCUCUAGAUCUGGUAAUUUGCUUCUGCUUUCCUGUUCCCCUUGUCCUCUCCCAAAAUCCAAUCACAAUCUUAGCUUUUUUUCCCCUUUCCUUUGCUUUCAAAUCCUUCGAGAUACACCUAGGUAAGUUUGUUUUAUUUGGGAGUAACCCCUCUUUUAAUCCAUCCUCUUGUAUUUUUAUACCCAAUUGCAAGCGUAUUCUUCCUUCCUUUGACCAGUUUGGAUGAAAGCGAAAUUAGCUAUUCCUCCCUACUCUUUCCUUGUUCGUUGAUAAUUUUAUAUUCACACCCAAUUAUGAGAAUUGUUCUUCCCCUAGUGUAUUUUUUCCUCUGCACUCUUUUCUUUUAAGAUCAUAGAAAGAAACAAAACCAAUCUCAGGCCUGCUUUCUCAGGCAAGUACAGAUGGUAUGAAGGAAGUGGUGUGUUAAAUCUUAGACUACUAGCUCAUCUACAUUAAGGCUUCUUAAACUUUUCCCCUUGCAACCUUUUUUCCUCUGAGAAAAUUUUACAUGGAAAUAUAGGUAUGUAACAGUUACACAUAUCAAAUAUUUGUUGAUAAUAAAUCAUAAUUUCACAACCCCCAUAUUCUGUUAUGAGACCCCACACAAUGGGUUAUGAACUACAGUUUAAGAACCUGGGAUAUACACAACAUAAACUGAAUUUUGGUUCAUAUUAAAUGUAACCUGAUAUCACUUUAUGAUUUGCAUAAAUCAAAUUUUGCAUUAGUUAACCUCUCAUUAAUCACAACUUACUUGUAUUUUUGAUGCCUAUCAAAGCAUAAAGUUUACUUAAAAAGAAAACCAAACUUGGGAUAUUUUUUAGGGUUCCUUACAGCAAAGUUUGAUAAAAUAAACACUAUGCUACUCAUUAAAGAUUCAUUUUUUUCUCCCUGUAGUAUUAUACUUAGAUUUGCUAUUUAAGUGAUUCUCAGUCAUAAGAUAUACAGUAUUCUGAUAUAUAGUAUUCCAACCUCCUCAUUUCUUUAGAAUGAUGACCAUUAAAUGGAUUGUGAUUCUGACUGUGACUCUUCGGAACGUGAAUUGUUUCUUUCUGGUUUCUUGAAGUAUUUUUCCUCUGAUUUCGAACCUCUUGAUCUUGACUAUAAUGCAGUCUUUUUUUUUUUUUUUUUUUUGCUGAGGAAAUUGGAGUUAAGUGACUUGGCCAGGGUCACAUAGCCAGGAAGUGUAAGUGUCUGAGGCCAAAUUUGAACUCAGGUCUUCCUGACUUCAGGGCUGGUGCUCUAUCCACUGCGCCACCCAGCUGCCCCUCAGUCUCUUUUUAUGUGUUGUGGUAUACCAUUAGAUUUUAAGAUGCGUUAGGGUAAGGACUCUUUUUCUUAUUUUUAUUCAUAGAGCUUCAUAUAGUACCUGGCACAAAAACAGGUACUUAAUAAAUACUUAAUGAAUUCAAUUGAAAGAAGUAACUAGUGGAGUCUUUCUAUUUUCACUUUGUCCUCUGGUUUUAAGAGAUCUAGGCAUAAAAGUGCAAAGAAUGAUCAUUUCUUAAAAUAUGACUGUCUAUACUUUUGAGAAGGGAUUGUAUGAUUAUUAAUUUCUCUUCAAUUUGUUUUCCAGCUGUUUCUGCUGAGAUAAUUUACAUUUUUUCAAUCUUUUGACUUAUUUUAAUAUUUCUUAUAGUUACUAGCUUUUCUACAAGGUCCAUUAUACUUUUCAAUUACCUUUUUUUGGGGUAAGAUUUUAGAUUUCUUGUUCCUAACUGGUGAUUUGCUUUUAAAUUCUCUCUUUCAUAGUUUCAUUUUUCUUUCUAUUUUCCCCUUCUGGUUAUUUCAUUUGAUUUUUUUAAAAAAAUCAUUUUUGGUUCUUUAAAAAUUUAAAUAAAUAAAAACCUAUUUCAUUUUUCAUGGGAACUUUAAUUGAACUUAUGGCCCAAGUUAUGCUUUUCUUUGAGGCUUUGCUUGUAUAUACAUUGGAGUCAUUCUCUUUUUCUUAAAUUAUGUCUUAAACAUCCUUUUCACCUUAGUAGCUUUUAAUGUUGAGAUUUUUCUUGUUUGCUCAUUACAGCCUAUUUCCUGACUCAUACUUAAUAUUAAGACCAGGCUCUAUCCACUUCUGGAGGGAUUGUCUGAGCUGAAUUUAUAUCCUAUUGAAGCUUUACUGUGGGUAAUGAGUAUGUGUUACUCCAGCAUCUUAGGAACAGCUCCAGCUAGAGAAAUCUGCAAAAUUUCAGUUCCCCAAAGUAAUUAUGAUCCAGGAUAAAGUUUGGUUACUGUCCUCCUAGUCCCCUGGUUGGAGUUACAGUAGACUAUUGCUAGACUCAGGUACCACCAAUAAGCUUCAGACUAGGCUAGUGACCAAAGGUGAGACUAUACUCCUGGGGUCAGUCACAAAACUACUAUUUACUCCUGAACGUGCUCUUUGCUAAGAAUUCAAUCUAGGACCCAUAAUCACACCUCCUUCUAGACUACCAUCCCUAAGCACUGAUCCCUUCCUUACGUCACCCUUGCAUGUGACACAGAACUAGAGGGUAGGCAACAGAGCUACCAAUUGGCACUUGUCCUUGAACAAGACUGGACUCCCUUAUACAGGUCUGAGACCACUUCCAGUGUACAAUCGCUUUUAAAAUACUGUGCUGGAGUAUUCCACACUAUACACUCCCUAUUAAACCUUGUCUUCAAAUAAACUUGUCUGUCUCCCUAUGCUAACCUGGGCAGGAAAAAUGACUAAUUUUGUUCUUGGAUUUCCCAAUUGGAACUUGAUCUGCUGUGUUCCCUAGAUCUUUGUUGGAGCAGUAGUGGUGAGGAACUAAGCUCUCCAGUUCUUUUCCUGAUACUCCAUUAUUUUGGUGCUUUCUUACCUUUCUUUUUCCAUCUCAUAGUCCCAGUGUCUUC